AGAAUCAACGCUGGCGGCGUGCCUAACACAUGCAAGUCGAACGAGAAAGGGUAGCAAUACCUGAGUAAAGUGGCGCACGGGUGAGUAACACGUGACUAACCUACCCUGGAGUGGGGGAUAACUGAGGGAAACCUUAGCUAAUACCGCAUAACACCUACGGGUCAAAGGAGCAAUUCGCUUCAGGAGGGGGUCGCGGCCGAUUAGUUAGUUGGCGGGGUAAUGGCCCACCAAGACAGUGAUCGGUAUCCGGCCUGAGAGGGGCGCGACGGACGACGACUGGAACUGAAACACGGUCCAGACUCCUACGGGAGGCAGCAGUGGGGAAUUUUGCGCAAUGGGGGAAACCCUGACGCAGCAACGCCGCGUGGAGGAUGAAGUACUUCGGUACGUAAACUCCUUUCGAUCGGGACGAUAAUGACGGUACCGGAAGAAGAAGCCCCGGCUAACUUCGUGCCAGCAGCCGC
rnacentral:rRNA from 1 species